GCUGGGCGUGGUAGCGUGUGCCUGUAAUUCCAGCUACUUGGAAGGCUGAGGUAGGAGAAUCGCUUGAACCCAGGAGUUAGAGGUUGCAGUGAGCCAAGAUCACACCACUGCACUCCAGCCUGGGUGAUAGAGCGAGAUUCUGUCUCAA
ensembl:misc_RNA Metazoa_SRP Metazoan signal recognition particle RNA